UGCUUUUCGAAUGUUACUAUGAAAAGUAAAGUCUGCCCUAUGAAUAUUUAAAUGGCCGCAGUAUUUUGACUGUGCGAAGGUAGCAUAAUCAAUUGUCUUUUAAUUGGAGUCUGGAAUGAAGGGCUUAAUGGGAAGAAGCUGUUUUAAAAUAUAAAUAUUGAAUUUUUAGGUUAGGUGAAGAUACUUAAAUUUUUAUAAAAGACGAGAAGACCCCGUUAAGUUUGAUGUGUAACUUAUAUUUAGAUAUUUUUAUUGUAGUUGUAACAUUUUGUUGGGGCAAUUAAUGGGAUACUUUAAACUCUUAUUUUUGUAUAAUAAUAAUCGUUAAAUUAAUUAUAUGAUCCAGUGGGCUGAUUAAAAAAAUAAAUUACUGCGGGGAUAACAGCGUAAUUUUCUUAUAGAGUUCUUAUCGAUGAGGAAGAUUGCGACCUCGAUGUUGGAUUAAGAUACCUUUUUUGGCGUAGCCGUUUUUACGGGGGUAGUCUGUUCGACUAUNAAANUUUCUUAACA
rnacentral:rRNA from 1 species